rnacentral:rRNA from 1 species
CAGCAGCCACGGGAAUACGUAGGGUGCAAGCGUUAAUCGGAAUUACUGGGCGUAAAGCGUGCGCAGGCGGUUUGUUAAGACAGAUGUGAAAUCCCCGGGCUCAACCUGGGAACUGCAUUUGUGACUGGCAAGCUAGAGUGUGGCAGAGGGGGGUGGAAUUCCGCGUGUAGCAGUGAAAUGCGCAGAUAUGCGGAGGAACACCGAUGGCGAAGGCAGCCCCCUGGGCCAACACUGACGCUCAUGCACGAAAGCGUGGGGAGCAAACAGGAUUAGAGACCCCUGUAGUCCCUGUCUCUUAUAC